rnacentral:lncRNA from 1 species
AGGCACAGGCUCCAUGGCGUCUCCUCCUCCAAGCGCCUCCCUUCUGCCAAGCUCCACCAGGAGAUCCUCCGCCUGGUCUACGGCACACCGUCAAGCACCCAUGCCGAUGGCACCUCAUCCCCUCCGGCUUUUCCACUCCCCUCCUAAUGCAAAUGGAAUUUGUCUGUAGUAGGUAGUAUCUACUUACCUCGCAUGACACAACACAUAAUGUGGAGAAGCUGGACCUAAAGAGGACAUUUUCAAUGUACGACUCUAUAUGCAAGACAUACAGAAGUCAUUUUCAAUGAGACUAUCUACAAUUGUUAUUCUCAAGACUGAAUCAGGUAGUGAGCUACAUGAAGAAUUGAUGGCAUGCACAUAAACCAUGACAUAAUUUGGGCCCAACAAUGCGUAAUUUGUCUCUGAACUUUCUUAACAAGCAGACACUUUUUCUUAUCCUAUCAAUGUCGUAAUAUUACAACAAUAAACAACUACCAUGGUAUGAAACAUCAACGUGAGAGGGAUAAGACAAAUACGCAAACGCAAUGUGCAACUAAGCAAAAUAAUAUGCCAGGGUAUCGAUUCCUGUAGUGAAUAAUAACACCAACCGCAUGAACAAUGGCACUUGCCUAGCCGUACGCCGGCAAUCGGGCCACACUAACGCCAGUGAUACAAGGGAUGGGGAACGGCGGGGCGGAUGAGCACAAUCCGGAUAUGUGGAGAAGCCACGGUCGAUGGCAUCUGGUCAAUGUUGGGCUUAACAGGGUAGCAUAUGGAGGCAUCAAGUCAAGUCUUCCUUUUUUGUGUGGGGAAAAUCAAAUCUUACUUAAAUAAUUUAUACUUUACACCACAUGUAUUAUUGAUCUCUAACCGCCGCCACUUUGGCAAGAAACUCAGCUUGUUGGCUUCAGAUUGCUUGCAAAAUUGGAUUAAAGCAAUCACCUGCAAAAAUACAGCACGCUAGCUUCAAAUCGCUUGCAAAAAAACGACAGUGUACUUGAGGACAGUACAUAUCAUUGCACACUAAUCAUAGGAGGGCAAAUAAGCUACUUUAAGUUGAAUUGAAGUACUCAAAUUAGAGCUAGUGCAGUAUGCCACAAAGAAAAUAUUGUUUGUCGAGCCAAACCACAUUAAAAAAAAGAAAGGAAGCAUUAGAAGAUUGGAGUUAAUAGUUUGUACCUUCUUCAGCUUGCAUAAUUGAAUUGAAGUAAUAAGCUUUUGUUUCGUUGCCAUGGCAUGCCCAGUGCAUCUCCAAUCCUCCCUAUUAUUUCCUCCUUUGACAACAACCAUAAGUAACAAACCAUGGCAAUAAGGAUACAUACAUUUAGGACAAUAAAAUCUAAGUAAUUGCAUAUUAAAGAACUAAGAGAUGUGCUUUUGCAGUCCAAGAUACUAACCAGGCCUUGUGAACAAUUUGCGAAUACAUACAAAUACCAGAACCACGGCCUCCAUAAAUUAUCCAAAGAAAUAGACCAGAAUGGAUGAACACUUGGAUUGGUAGCACCUGAAAAUAGUAAGAUCGACAAAAGCUUCGUCAGUUAGAAGAAUCAGGACGAACACUCGUGCGCUGGACCGAGGCUUGUAGCCAAGGUCUGCCUCGCUUUAGAUAGAGUCAAGGGACAGUGUGGACACCAGCGGCUGGGACAUGAUAAGAAGCAGCAUAUCCGUAAGGAGGUGGAGCAGGCAACACACGAGGCG